CAUUCAGUGACCCUGAGGACCUUGCACAGGCCUAGCGCUGGCUUCUCUGGGGGAGUGACAGAAACAGUCCAGAGCAACACAAAGGGAGCCUUCAGUCCCCAUGCUCCUCCCACCACUGCCAACAGGGGAAACAAGGCACUUGGGGCUCCGUGGUGAGAAGACCUAGAGGAGAUCAGCAGGUGCCAUGCUUGAGACAAUGAGCUUUACAUUUCCAGAGCUAGCUCGUUCCGGUCAAAACAACAUCCAGCCCAAAGGCAGUGGUGAUCCACUGAGAAACAAAUCCGGAUAGGAGCAAAGCAGGCAGACAAUAUCGGAAAUGCAAGGCCGUAAAAGGGCAAUGAGGGGACUCUGAGGCUGCUGUCCUCAUGGAUCCUGCCCCUAAAUUGUUGGACCCCAUCUCCUGCCUCACCCACAGUGCCCUGGGCAUCCUUCCCCAACUGUCCAUCAUUGCUUAAAAGGCAUCUCUCCAGCCCUCAGGGUUCCUGGAGGGCAGACACCUGCCUUGGUAUUCACGGAGUUAACACAGUGCCCACAACAGAUCAUGGAAACAAUUGCGAAUCAAGGAAUAAGAGAACUGAAAAAUAGAAGAGUAGAGCAAAACUACAUGAACUUUAUCCUGUCAAGUAAAAUGCCAAGUAAAAACUGUAUUAAGAAACAGAUUACAAUAUGUGUCACAUUUAUUUAGAAUAAAUCUGACAAGAUACUGGGAGAAUUUCAC
rnacentral:lncRNA from 1 species